CUCACGGACAAGUGCGGCGGCCACGGGCAAGCUAUGGCAGUAGUCGCGUUGUUAAGAGCAGUCACCGGUUCUUUUGUCUUCAUGUGCAGCGCGCUGCAUGCCGGACUCCCCUCCUCCUCCUUCUCCACACCACCACCCCCCCCCCCACUCCUUGUUUCCCUCCAUCCAUCCGUCCCUGCCUCCUCCAUCCCGCGAACACCCUGCCGAGCCGCGCCAAUCGCUCACGGCCCCAGGAAGAAGAAAACCAACUUAUCUCGUGGCAGCGAGCAAGGGGCACGUGUUGGGGGGGGGGGGGGGGUGUAGUCGUUGUCGACGCGGCCACACCUUGAGACGCCCCUGCCCCGUGCUCCCUGCGAAGACGGACACUGCCCCCCCCCCUACCAAAUUGCCUCCCUUGCUCGUUAUCACCGCAGCGGCGUGGCAGCGUGACAGCCACACUCCGCUCACUCAUUCGGCUUUUGCGGAUGAAUUUCACGGUUUGAUUUUCAGCCGGGGCUGUGCCGGGGGUGGUGGGGGCUGAGCUCCGGAAAAGACUCUCGCCACUUCGGGGGAGGCGGGGAGACGGGGGUCUCUGGAAGACCUUCCACGAUAAACGAAGCCCUUGAUGAAUCAAUCAUCGGAUAUGCGUUGUUACAUAACGCGUGUGUUUAUAUAUUUGCAAACGCUAUACAACAAAGCAGCACGGUUGGCACGCGUUUGUGCAGUAUUAAUGAUCAUUGAAAUCGUGCCUUUUGUCAAUCCACCGCCUUGGUCACGGGGGAUUCUAUUCCACGGCCAUACUUCACCACCCCUGGUCAGUGAAGGGGUUGAUGGAACAAGGCAAAGGUGAUGCGAGGUGCUGUUUGUUGCUGGCCUCAUGGUGUUUUUGGGCCGUUGGGGCCCUGCCUCAGCUACCCCUCAAGUCGAAUCGUCUCGAGCCAACGGUGGCACCAGUGAGCAGUUGCAGAGGCUGCACCUUCCAUGUACUGCAACGAACGUAAAUCUGUCUCGAGUCAACGCUGGAGUUGUUCACAUGAGAUUCGCGGUUUAUGGAUCGCAAACAUGGCUCUUCGCCGAGAAACGAGUUAACAAAAAGAACAAGCCACACGUUCGCCUAAAUAUGUGUGGAACGUAAAUGUGGGAGUAAGUCGAAGUUAAAGGUUAAGUGAUGCAUUGUACAGGGUGCUUAAAUAUUUUUUUUGUAUAAAUCACUUAUUUGGGACUUACAUUUUUAAUGGAAAAGAACGGACAGUACACCGUAACAUGAGAACAAAUGUGAUGUUAAUCGCUUCAAAAAGUCAAAGAGCCUCCACUUGUUGGCAAUCGUUGUACACGCACGCCUGGAAUAUUCUCCAGGUGGUGUCCAGAGCCCCGAGGCAGCAGCACACUUACUGAAGCACCCUGUAUAAGGAAAACAAGCCGGGGUGCACUGAUGCUGUUGAUAAAACAAGCAAACAAACACACAAAAAAGCAUUGAAAAUUAGCAGCACACGUCAUGCGAACAACCGAUGAGAGGCAACAUCGACUGUGGAGCGGAGACCCAGAGAAGCAAAGAGAAGCAGAGAGGGGCAGCGGGAUGGAACGACAGCAGUGAGACGACACCGCAGAGUUCGGAGGCCACGUUGGGACACGAGGCAAGGAAGAGGAAGAAUUAAUAAUAAAGGUUUUUGGGUUAGAUCGCGUUAUUUAUAAAUGUGUCGUAAC